CUUAGGGAGAAAAUGGCUUAUUAGAAUUCAGGACAUUCCCCUCCCAAGUACACUUGUUUCUUACUGUUUGCUUUAAAAUGUUUUGUGUGACUCAGAGAUACAGACUAAAAACUUGAAACAGAAAGUGAAGGCUGAGAGGAAGAAAAGUCAGAGCCAUUUCCUGUUCAUGGGCAGUACACACCACAGGGGAGGGUGUGCUUGUCCUCCUGCCUUGGCAAUAAGUGAAGCCUUGAAUGUCUCCACAUCACAUCAGUGCUGUCUCCUGGACUGCAGGCAGAGGGCCGGUGGGAGAAGCCACAGGUCCAUGUCUGCAUGUGGCGUUUUGGACAGUCGAAUUCAUCUAAGAAACACCCUGGGCAGAAGCUCCAGAAGCUCAGGGCUGGACCAGGAGAACCGGAAAAGGCCCCCAUGACAGUUUGCUUUGGGCAGAGCUGCCUCGGACAGUUUCUGAUGAAGAGCCAUAACUGAAAACUUGUUAUAAUUGAGGAAAGAAGACUAUUCAAGACUGAAAACAAGUCUUCGUAAUUUGUGGAACAAAUGUGGCCCGAAAAGGAUUACCAAGACAUCAAGCAAAGGCCAUCUGCCUUGAAGUCAGACAGACUUGUGUUUGCAAUUUCACCUUUUCUGGUCUUCUAAAUUGAGAAAACUGCUUGGCUUGCUGGGCAUCAUUAAAUAAGAAGUUUGUGAGACCUCAAUGAGUCAUGAAGAAUCCUAAUUUCAAAUCCAAAGAAUCCAAAGUGAUGACAACAAAAAAUAACAAUUGAUAUCUGAACAAAGGCCAAGAAGUAAGUCCUUUGAUUUGGCCCCAGACCAAGUCGCCAACGUUGAACGUCCUUGGCCUAUAAUGUAUCAACUCAUUUGAAGAAGGGGAAUCUGGAUUCCUUAGG